UACACAGGUAGAUUUAAAGCAAGUUGCUUGAAAUGUUGACAUUUAAAAUCCAAUGUUGAAUCUUGAUGUAUAAACAGUAACGUUCUUUCCCCAAAAAUUAUCUUAAUUAUGUUUAAAUAUUUACAACUGAUAUAUACAAUGGUGUAAAAUAUUUAAAACAGGUUCGUAUUAGGGGAGCGUGGGGCAAGUUAUUACAAUUUUUAUAUUGUCAAAAUUAUUAAAUUUAUUGUAAUUAUUUCACAAUGGAAAAUUUAAUGGGGUCCAAAAAAGACAAAGAUCGGUCCACCUGCAGGCUAGGUCAUGGCGUCGGUUUUUGGGAUGCCCAUGGGAUAAUUUCCAUUAAUUAUCUUGAAAAAGGAAAAACUAUCAAAGUUUGAGGGAAUUUUCGUAUAGCUAGUACACCCCUGUAUAAUUCUAGACAAUUUUGUUUAUAAUUUAUGAAACGUGUAAGUUGAUAUCAUGUGUUUAAACAUGGAAAUUAACCAGAUUAAAGUGUAAUAACUGAGAUAUUAUGAGCGAAAUCAGUAUGAAAGUGUUUUCAACGUUUUUUGUUUUCGUUUUACUGUUUAUGACAGUUUUCGGACUCCCAACGGAUCUGCCACCUACAACAACUGUAGCUUUUCAAAAUCAAACAACAAAUAAACCUUCCAAAUUUCGUUAUUUCGCUGGAAAAGUGAAAUGUAAUGUAGGUUAUGUUUUAUUUCAUAGAAGAUGUGUCGAAACUUUUUAGACGAUGUAAUGAAAAGCCAUUUAAAUGGUUUGGCCUUGAUUCAAUACAUAUAUGAAUAAAGAAACUUUGCCCAAGAAAAAAAUGUAAAUAAAUAUUUUGUUUGUUUUAAAA